GUACUAACCACUAUACGAUCACGGCUGCUUGACACUCUGGCUGUCAAACCAAGAGGAGACAGACAGAUAUGAGAUGCCGAAACAAGAGACGCAUAAGAGAAAGUAGAAGAAAUAGAACCAACAGAUGAAAAGGAGCUCACAAGGGAAAACGUGAAAUGUAAUGCUCUCAUUAAUAAUGAACAGAGGAACAAUAUGAUGAGAGAAGAAGAGGAUGUGAAGAGAAGAGAUGUGACCACCGGCACUGUGAACAAGUGACGAGAGGCGAAACAACGACGUGUGCAGGAAACAUAAGAAAGGAGAAGAACAUAAUAAAAGAACAUAAAAAAAAGAAAGAAAAAGUU